UCCCGCCCCGCCUCUCUCUCUCCCUCCCGUGCCUGCCUCCCAGCCCCCCGUCGCCGCCGUUGCUCUCUCUCCCUCCCGUGCCCGCCUCCCUGCCCCCCCCGCCGCCGCCGCUUGCUCGGGCACCCAUCCACGACCUCGCGCCGCCCCUCUCCUCUUCCUCCCGCCUCACCUCUCUCUCUCCUUCCAAACCCUAGACCGCCUCCUUGCCCUGUCGCCGUCGGAUCAUCUCCUUCUCCACCCCUCUCACUGACGAGGAGCUGGCGCUCGGGGAGGACGAGGAGAUGGCCGCCUCCUGGGAGCAGCAGGAGGAGGAGGGGCAUGCGGCGCCGGCGACUAAGAAGGCCAGGAACGUGGCCACCGGCGACAAGGAGCCCGAGUUCCUUGGCGAGCCGUCCCCGCUCAGUGUGGCCAUGUUCUGACCAAGCUGAAGGAAGCACGUCCAAAUUGGUUCUCUACAUGGUGAGCCGACCAAGAAGGCCAGGAACGUGGUCCCUUCCAUCCAUCCUCCUUCUCACGGCCGUUCCUCCUGGCCGGGAUGAUUUCAUGGUCGUGUUGCAGUUGGUUCCAGUUCUGACCGCACGCCUCGCAUCCGCCGUCUGUCGUCCACCGUUUGCUCGGUUGCCGCCAUGGAAAAGUUAAUUCUUCUUCUUUUUUUUGUCCUUCCAGUUUUCCUGCUGAUGUGCACCUAUACAUGAGCAAUUGAUUUUCUCUAAAAAAUACAUGAUGUUGUUCCAUUCGCUUUCUCUAAUUGAUGUGGUUGAGCAAUUGAUUUUCUCUAAAAAUACAUGAUGUUCUUCCAUUCGCUUUCUGGUCUGAUCCUAAAUAUCAUGUGUAUCAAACUAAUCAUUGAUACUGCAACUGAAGCUAGCUCUUAUGGAGAUAGAGAAUUACUACACUGCUGUCUGCAUGCGUGUGAAGCUCUUAUGGAGAUAAUUACUUACAUACCAAAACCAUAUAUGAGUCCGCUGUUUAUUAUUGUUCACCAGAAAUGAUGAUAAAUUUGGUAAUUAACUAGUGUCUAUUAAGUGUUAACUUUAUCAAAAAAAUAUUGUGUGUUCCGGGCCUAUGAGUCUUUGUUUUGUUUGUUUUCCAGAGCACACAGUAAAUAAAACAGAGCACAAAGCAGUAGCCUUUGGAGCAGGUUACAGUUUCUACUUGGAAUUAAAGGAUUUGGAGCAGGCUACAUCUGUGAUGACACAGAUUGGUUAUGCAUGAUCUCUUAGUAAUGAAACUCUUUCCUUGCCUGUAUCUAAUCUUGUAUGUUCAAUUCUUUUUCCUUUUGAGUGGAUUUCUAUAUGGAAUACCAUCUAUUUCUAAUGAAUUUUUAUGUUGCUUGCUGCCCUUUUUAAUUAGAUAGAUCCAAUAAUUAUACCAAUGAAUAGAUCUUUUUUGUGACUGAUAUAUGAUUCAAUGAUAUAAAUGCUAUAUAUUUUGUAUCCGAUAUGCAAGGUUACCUGAAUCUCCUCGCAUAUUUUUUUUGAAGGAAGAGUGAACGCAGUCCUGAAUGCAGUCAAUAGGCGCACUCCAUUUAGAACAAUGGAAGCAUCAUUAAAUUAACUUGGUUGACAGAUGGUUCAAGCUGCUCGUCGUCUAAUGGAAAGCUUGGCCUAAUAAAAAUAUCUGGGAGGUAGCUAUGGUAGUCUCAUUGUAAUUUCUACUCUACCAUCAAGGUUCUCCAUGAUGAUUGAGAUGACCGUGACUACUUUACAAGCUUUUGGAAGCUGUGACAGAAGGCAUGGAAACCAUGAUAAGUCAAAGCAUAUAAACCUCAAAAUUAUGCAGCUGAUCAUAUCAUAUUGCCACUGGAAUGAAAUUGUCUAUUCUAAAGUGUUCUACACUCAAGCUAUCAUCUGCACUUCAUUUAUUUUAAUCAUUCCUCACCAGAACUACUUUAUUAGUAGUGAAAGGCAUCACGUAAUUUAUUCAUCGCCAAAAAAUAUUAUCAUGCUCCCAAUUUAGCUGGCAAUUGGUGCACAUGUCUGCCAGGACUAAGGGAAUCAAGAAACAAUCCUUCAGCUACUAAUUAUGGUCGUUUUUUAUAACAGCUUAUCUAGCUACCUAUUUGUAGUAAAGUUCGGCUACAUAAUUCUCUUCGUCCAUUAGUUAGUCCUUGGUCCUCCUGGCUACUGUUGAAUGAUUGUUAUUUUUUUAGCUCACCUUCGUAUGCUCCUAUUGCUCAAGCGUGAGUUUUGUCCCACAAGGUUAAUGCCACUUCCAAUUUUUUAUAUAUUUCUAUUUUACUUGCAGCCAUUGUCGUGCUUACUCCACAGUUGUAGAAAAAUUUCCUUGGUUCCAAGUUCUGAAUACGCGUUAAUCCAUCAUCUAUUUUUGACCCUGUAGAUGAAUUUAUUCCCAGAUGUUUAUGCAGGGAAGGAGGAGGCAUACCAUUGAUAGUUUGAAUCAAACCAGUAGAGGACACCACCGUCGGUUAUGGUGUCGAGUGACGGAACUGCAGUGAUCUGGCAGUGUGGCUGUUGACCUCCUUAACAUCAUUCACAUUCGUCGCUCUAAACCCACUCAGCAGACAAGCUAAAUCCUUCUGCUUUAUCACGAGGACAACAAUAGUGCUCAUGUGAGCUUGAACUGUGGUGAAUGCGACUGAUGUUUCAACCGCAUACAAAGAUGAAGUUCUUUUUGUUUCUCGAGUAAUAUUAUCGUAUAUAGGCGUGAUGCCUCUGCAGAGGCGUUUUGGAUCAAUACCUUAUCUUUAUUGUAAAUUAUGUGUGAUCACCGCUAUGAGACACCUUUGGAUGGAUUUAUUACUCCAUAGUUAUUGUAAAUUAUGAACAAAUUAUGCUGUAGUUCCAGUGUUAGUUAUCUGAUCUACUAAAUAUGCCUAUGUUAUCCUGUA